rnacentral:rRNA from 1 species
GACGAACGCUGGCGGCGUGCCUAAUACAUGCAAGUAGAACGCUGAAGGAGGAGCUUGCUUCUCUGGAUGAGCUGCGAACGGGUGAGUAACGCGUAGGUAACCUGCCUGGUAGCGGGGGAUAACUAUUGGAAACGAUAGCCAAUACCGCAUAAGAGUAGAUGUCGCAUGACAUUUGCUUAAAAGGUGCAAUUGCAUCACUACCAGAUGGACCUGCGUUGUAUUAGCUAGUUGGUGAGGUAACGGCUCACCAAGGCAACGAUACAUAGCCGACCUGAGAGGGUGAUCGGCCACACUGGGACUGAGACACGGCCCAGACUCCUACGGGAGGCAGCAGUAGGGAAUCUUCGGCAAUGGACGGAAGUCUGACCGAGCAACGCCGCGUGAGUGAAGAAGGUUUUCGGAUCGUAAAGCUCUGUUGUAAGAGAAGAACGAGUGUGAGAGUGGAAAGUUCACACUGUGACGGUAUCUUACCAGAAAGGGACGGCUAACUACGUG